CCAUUUUGAGAGCGGUAAAUAUUUCCCUCUCUGAUGAGAGAAGCAGAAGGAGCGAGCGGUGUAUUAACGAGAAGCUGUUGUUUCCGGCAGUGGCGAUGUAAGCGAUGUAAGCUGUGGUGGAAACUUCCUGUUGCAGCAACACGGCCUGCCGAGAUGAUGUGCUGCCUGCACAGGCAACACUGUAAAUGUACAAAUAAAGCUGAGCACACCGCCAAGCCACCUUCUCUGAAAGGAAGCGGACGCUCAGAAGGAUGGCCUGCAUGGAAAUCUCCAGAUAACUGAGCAAAGCUGAACACAACCCCCUGGCCAGGAAGCUUCUAAUCCAGAGGGGAGGAGGAGACGGCACCAAGGCUGUCUGAAGCCGUGAGUUAGAAAAACCGUUGCUGCUUGGAAUCCAGACCACAGACUGGCUACGACUGCAAGGACUGCAUCGUAAGGGGAACUUGAAGAAAACGAAAACAGGAAAGCUUAUGAAAGCAAGGCACAAGGCAGAGCAAAAGCUGAAGAGAAACUGAAAAUGAGUUCAUGCUGAGGCGCUAAAAUUAUAACCACAGCUCUCAGAUUUGAAACCCAAAGGUAGAAUUCCGUGUUAAACUGCUGUUCGGACAGUGAAACCUCCCUGCCCUUUUCAAGAAGCAAAUUGGAAAUUUCUAUGCAGCAAGUGCUUUACUGAAACUGAAGUGCUCACCAGCUCAGCAGUCUACCCUCCAGCCCAGCAUUAGCAGAAGGUGUUUGCACACAAUAUAAAAAUGCACCCUUAUCAAGAAGCUGUCAGCCUUUGCCAAAGCUAGUAGUAAAAAUGAAGAACACGAUGAAGAGAUUCCUUAGAGACAGAUGCCAAACAAAACCUGGGGUUUGGUCAGCACCUGCCUAAAAGAACUGACAAAAGCCUGUGUUGCUUAGGCGGCCUCUGGGGCCUCUCUGACCAACAAUUUCUGAGAAGAAUCUCUCUCCCAGGGACCUUUUUUCUCACUGCUUCUGGAAGCAGUGGUGUUUAGUCGUGCAGAGUGUGUCUUGGGCUUACAAAACACCAUUUGAGUUUCCUCUGUACAACUGAAUACUACUCAGCAGAGAAAAACAAUGACAUCAUGAAGUUUGCAGGCAAAUGGAUGGAUCUAGAAAAAAUCACCCUGAGUGAGGUAACCCAGACUCAGAAAGACAAACAUGGUAUGUACUCACUCAUAGCAGGAUACUAGAUAUGGAACAAGGAUGACUGGACUGCUACUCACAACACCAGGGAGGCUACCUGGAAAACAGGACUCCAAAAGAGACAUGGGGAUCUCCUAAUGACGGAGAAAUGGAUGAGAUCUACAUGAACAGCCUGGACGAUUAAUGGGCUGAACUCCAUGGAUCUAUGUUCCUUGGAAAUGGAAACUGUGUCUGUUUUGUUGACCACUAUGAAACUCAAAAACUAUCCCAUAUAGGAGGCCAUGCAUGUAUGAGGUUCAAUGUCCUGAGGGCCAUUCCAUCAAUGCUGUGAUAUGGAUUACAAGCAUUCAUGCCUUUCUGAAAGAGGACUUGACAAAAUGCAUGGAAGAUAGCAGUAGCAACAUGAAGAAUCUACAUGAAACUCAAGAAAAGUAGCAACACCAUGCACAGAUGGAAAUCACAAGCUGCAGGAGCUGCGGAACUGGCUACCAAAAAGCCGGCAGUACUUCUGAUGGAGAAGUGGUGUCCCUGCCUAGGUGACCGAGAAAACAGUAACAACAGCUGACUCCAUAGAGUAGAUGGAGGGGACUUGAGCAGCACCUCACCCUCACAUGGCUCCUGCCAGGACAGAGAGGCAUUACCCUCAGUGAGGUAAGUCUCCAAGCUGCCUCAGACACUGUUCCACCAAAACAAGGAGUUAGUACAAGGGCCUGGGUGUUACCUGGAUCAGUAGACAUUUUCUUUUGUUGCUCUUAGUCCAUCUGCUUGUAAGCCUCUGGCCCAAAUUCUCUGUCAAUCAGAAGCCUCUUCCAUCAAGGAGACCUGAUAACAAGGCAUUUUGUGAAGAUGACCAAAUGUUCACUUGUCCAUCACCCUGUAACCAAUCAUAACUUCCCCAUGGCCUGAGCAGAGAAGUAUCACCUGUGUGUUCCCCC